AGACCCGAAACCCGGUGAUCUAGCCAUGGGCAGGUUGAAGGUUGGGUAACACUAACUGGAGGACCGAACCGACUAAUGUUGAAAAAUUAGCGGAUGACCUGUGGCUGGGGGUGAAAGGCCAAUCAAACCGGGAGAUAGCUGGUUCUCCCCGAAAGCUAUUUAGGUAGCGCCUCGUGAAUUCAUCUCCGGGGGUAGAGCACUGUUUCGGCUAGGGGGCCAUCCCGGCUUACCAACCCGAUGCAAACUGCGAAUACCGGAGAAUGUU
rnacentral:rRNA from 1 species